AAGAAACGAAAAUAAAAUACCUAAUAUAAGCUUCGACACAUACAGCUCUUUCUUACUGGAAAUCUUGCAUAUUCCGAACAUACAUUUUUAUUUUAGGACGGAUAUACCUAUAGAUUCAUUUGCAAGAUUGAUU
rnacentral:sRNA from 1 species